CCUACGGGUUGCAGCAGUGGGGAAUUUUGGACAAUGGGGGCAACCCUGAUCCAGCCAUGCCGCGUGAGUGAAGAAGGCCUUCGGGUUGUAAAGCUCUUUCGGCCGGGAAGAAAUCGUGGUCUCUAACAUAGGCCAUGGAUGACGGUACCGGACUAAGAAGCACCGGCUAACUACGUGCCAGCAGCCGCGGUAAUACGUAGGGUGCGAGCGUUAAUCGGAAUUACUGGGCGUAAAGCGUGCGCAGGCGGUUUUGUAAGACAGAUGUGAAAUCCCCGGGCUCAACCUGGGAACUGCGUUUGUG
rnacentral:rRNA from 1 species